rnacentral:rRNA from 1 species
AGGACGAACGCUGGCGGCGUGCUUAACACAUGCAAGUCGAACGGUGAACCUCCCUUCGGGGAGGGGAUCAGUGGCGAACGGGUGAGUAACACGUGAGCAACCUGCCCCUAGUUCUGGGAUAACCCCGGGAAACCGGAGCUAAUACCGGAUAUGAGACCGAGCGGCAUCACACGGUCUGGAAAGUUUUUCGACUAGGGAUGGGCUCGCGGCCUAUCAGCUUGUCGGUGGGGUAACGCCUACCAAGGCGACGACGGGUA